UUGUGUGUCGAAUUUCAUGAGCCGCGCGGAGCCGUCCCGGUUGGUGGCGGCCGCUUCUGUCGAUUCACUCCCUGACUCGUCGCGCGCUGCCGCUGCGAGGACUGGGUUCAAGCCACAGACCGAGGAUCCCAUCAGCUGACCUGGUGGGGGCAGGGAGCCAGGUCUGCCUCUAUGAAGAAGUCAGCCUCCUCACCCCCAGUCAGCGUGCGUUUCCUCAACAACAGCUGCAGCGACCCAGAUGGCUCUGGAGAUGAAGCAGGCCAACUGGAGCUGCAAAUGGGUAAGCCUGUUUCUG